rnacentral:rRNA from 1 species
UACAGAGGUCCCAAGCGUUGUUCGGAUUCACUGGGCGUAAAGGGUGCGUAGGCGGUUUGACAAGUCUGAUGUGAAAUCCCGCAGCUUAACUGCGGAACUGCAUUGGAAACUGUUUGACUAGAGGAAUGGAGGGGAGACUGGAAUACUUGGUGUAGCAGUGAAAUGCGUAGAUAUCGUAAGGAAGACCAGUGGCGAAGGCGGGUCUCUGGACAGUUCCUGACGCUGAGGCACGAAGGCCAGGGGAGCAAACGGG